UACGGAGGGUGCAAGCGUUAUCCGGAUUCACUGGGUUUAAAGGGUGCGUAGGCGGGCAGGUAAGUCAGUGGUGAAAUCCUUGAGCUUAACUCGAGAACUGCCAUUGAUACUAUCUGUCUUGAAUAUUGUGGAGGUAAGCGGAAUAUGUCAUGUAGCGGUGAAAUGCUUAGAUAUGACAUAGAACACCUAUUGCGAAAGGCAGCUUACUACGCAUAUAUUGACGCUGAGGCACGAAAGCGUGGGGAUCAAACAGG
rnacentral:rRNA from 1 species